rnacentral:hammerhead_ribozyme from 17 species
CUCCUGUUUGAAGAAAACUGCACUACACUGAUGAGCCCCAAGAAGGGCGAAACCGGUC